rnacentral:rRNA from 1 species
CCUACGGGAGGCAGCAGUGGGGAAUAUUGCACAAUGGGGGAAACCCUGAUGCAGCGACGCCGCGUGAGUGAAGAAGUAUCUCGGUACGUAAAGCUCUAUCAGCAGGGAAGAAAAUGACGGUACCUGACUAAGAAGCCCCGGCUAACUACGUGCCAGCAGCCGCGGUAAUACGUAGGGGGCAAGCGUUAUCCGGAUUUAUUGGGUUUGAAGGGUGCGUAGGCGGGCAUUUAAGCCGGCGGUCAAAUGUCGGGGCCCAACCCCGGCCUGCCGUCGGAACUGGGUGCCUUGAGUGGGCGAGAAGUAUGCGGAAUGCGUGGUGUAGCGGUGAAAUGCAUAGAUAUCACGCAGAACCCCGAUUGCGAAGGCAGCAUACCGGCGCCCUACUGACGCUGAGGCACGAAAGUGCGGGUAUCGAACAGGAUUAGAUACCCUUGUAGUC